GACGAACGCUGGCGGCGUGCCUAAUACAUGCCAGUCGAGCGGACUUUCAAGAAGCUUGCUUUUUGAAAGUUAGCGGCGGACGGGUAAGUAACACGUGGGCAACCUGCCUGCAAGACGGGGAUAACUCCGGGAAACCGGGGCUAAUACCGGAUAAUAUCUUCCUUCGCAUGAAGGAAGGUUGAAAGGCGGCGCAAGCUGCCGCUUGCAGAUGGGCCCGCGGCGCAUUAGCUAGUUGGUGAGGUAACGGCUCACCAAGGCGACGAUGCGUAGCCGACCUGAGAGGGUGAUCGGCCACACUGGGACUGAGACACGGCCCAGACUCCUACGGGAGGCAGCAGUAGGGAAUCUUCCGCAAUGGACGAAAGUCUGACGGAGCAACGCCGCGUGAGCGAAGAAGGUCUUCGGAUCGUAAAGCUCUGUUGUCAGGGAAGAACAAGUACCGUUCGAACAGGGCGGUACCUUGACGGUACCUGACCAGAAAGCCACGGCUAACUACGU
rnacentral:rRNA from 1 species